UCGCAGCGGAAAGCUCAGUAACACGUGGUCAAGCUACCCUGUGGAUGGGAAUAAUCUCGGGAAACUGAGGCUAAUACCCAACAACACUCCACGUCUGGAAUGAUUGGAGUCGGAAACGCUACGGCGCCACAGGAUGCGGCUGCGGUCGAUUAGGUAGACGGUGGGGUAACGGCCCACCGUGCCUAUAAUCGGUACGGGUUGUGAGAGCAAGAGCCCGGAGACGGUAUCUGAGACAAGAUACCGGGCCCUACGGGGCGCAGCAGGCGCGAAACCUUUACACUGUACGAAAGUGCGAUAGGGGGACUCCGAGUGCGAGGGCAUAGAGCCCUCGCUUUUGUACACCGUAAGGUGGUGUACGAAUAAGAGCUGGGCAAGACCGGUGCCAGCCGCCGCGGUAAUACCGGCAGCUCGAGUGAUGGCCGAUCUUAUUGGGCCUAAAGCGUCCGUAGCUGGCCAGGCAAGUCCGUUGGGAAAUCUGCUCGCUUAACGAGCAGGCGUCCAGCGGAAACUGCUUGGCUUGGGACCGGAGGACCUGAGGGGUACGUCCGGGGUAGGAGUGAAAUCCUGUAAUCCUGGACGGACCACCGGUGGCGAAAGCGCCUCA
rnacentral:rRNA from 1 species